rnacentral:tRNA from 1 species
GAGGGUAUAACUCAGUGGUAGAGCAUGUGCUUAGCAUGCACGAGACCCUGGGUUCAACCCCCAGUACCUCCA